rnacentral:rRNA from 1 species
AGGACGAACGCUGGCGGCGUGCUUAACACAUGCAAGUCGAACGGAAAGGCCCUUUCGGGGGUACUCGAGUGGCGAACGGGUGAGUAACACGUGGGUGAUCUGCCCUGCACUUCGGGAUAAGCCUGGGAAACUGGGUCUAAUACCGGAUAGGACUACGGCCUGCAUGGGUUGUGGUGGAAAGCUUUUGCGGUGUGGGAUGGGCCCGCGGCCUAUCAGCUUGUUGGUGAGGUUAUGGCUUACCAAGGCGACGACGGGUAGCCGGCCUGAGAGGGUGACCGGCCACACUGGGACUGAGAUACGGCCCAGACUCCUACGGGAGGCAGCAGUGGGGAAUAUUGCACAAUGGGCGCAAGCCUGAUGCAGCGACGCCGCGUGAGGGAUGACGGCCUUCGGGUUGUAAACCUCUUUCAGUAGGACGAAGCGAAGUGACGGUACCUGCAGAAGAGGACCGGCCAACUACGUGCCAGCAGCCGC